UCGGGGUGGGACUAAGACAUGCGAGUCAUGCGUCUCUAGCUAUGUUGAGACGCGGCAGACGGCUCAGUAACGCGUGGCUAACCUGCCCUCAGGACGAAGAUAACCCCGGGAAACUGGGGAUAAUAUUCGAUAGGUGAGGAUGUCUGGAAUGACUUCUCUCCUAAAAGGCAUAGAUACAUGCUUCUAUUUCGCCUGGGGAUGGGGCCGCGCCCGAUCAGGUUGUUGGUGAGGUAACGGCUCACCAAGCCUAUAACCGGUACGGGCCGUGAGAGCGGUAGCCCGGAGAUGGUACUGAGACAAGGACCCAGGCCCUACGGGGCGCAGCAGUCGCGAAAACUCCGCAACGCACGAAAGUGUGACGGGGCUACCCCGAGUGCCAUCCGCUGAGGAUGGCUUUUCUUUGGUAUAACUAGCCAUUGGAAUAAGGAGAGGGCAAGACUGGUGUCAGCCGCCGCGGUAAUACCAGCUCUCCGAGUGGUAGGGAUGAUUAUUGGGCUUAAAGCGUCCGUAGCCGGCUUAGCAAGUUUCCUGU
rnacentral:rRNA from 1 species